UCGCUCCUACCGAUUGAGUGAUCCGGUGAAUAAUUCGGACUGCUGCUUUUUUCAGUUCCUGAAAUUUGCGGUGGAAAGUUUAGUGAACCUUAUCACUUAGAGGAAGGAG
rnacentral:rRNA from 1 species